CAGAUACAUCUUCAUUUUUAGCUUCUGUUACCAUUACAAUUUUUCAAAAGAUACUUUCAGUUCACUCUUCUUUAUUUCAUACCUAGCAACCUGGCCCACCUGCACACGAGUAGCAUUAAAUAUCUACAGCAAGAUGGCUUGACUCGGCAUAGUGUAUAUUGUUUGGGGCCACAAAUAAAAUUCAGAGAACAUCAUUAAGUAAGUGAACAUUAUCACUUUCACAUAACUUAUGUGAUUUAAGCAGUUACGCCAUGAAAGUUGUCUGGAGAUAUGAAUGUUAUCAGUUCCAUAAUGAUUCGGAGUUUGGAGUGGCAAUGAUGGGGAGCACAUUGUGAGUGUUGGCGGACUCACACUUGACUGAUGGGGAAGACUCUUGUGUAAGCAUGCUAUCCAUGCUAAAGGGCUUGAAGCAGCAUAGAGAAUAUACAAAUAUGUCCACUUCAAGUAGCUGAGAUGUUACAUACUGGUGUAUAGUGCAGAGGAUCUCAGGUUCAAACCCAGGUCAGUUCUCUGAGUUUUUUUACAUUUCAUAAUACUGUCUCUAUUGUAUAGUCAAUAAAGAUAAUUAUAACACUAUGUUUUGAAGUUAAUGAGGUGGAAAUAUUGUUGUCAGAUAAAUUAAAAGAGGUGUCAGUUACAUGUAUUUGUGAACAUUGUUUAAUAGAAAAUAUGUUAACUUUGGAAUGAUAUGGAAAUUUAUUGAGAUAACUUAUACAGUCGGUAGAUGUGUCAUUUUGUAGCAAACAACCUCUAGUUUGAUUAGCGCAGUGUAUCAGUAGCCCUUCCACCAGGAGUGCCAGUAUAGUGCACACCUACCAAUUCUGUAGGUUAUAUCAAUAAAUUUCUAUAUCAUUCCAAAGUCGCCAAGUCCUUUAGACUCACCCUGUUUGUUAGAGAAGGCAUCAAACACUGUUACUUGAAGUUCAUUGAUCAGCUAGAGAAAGAGCAUGGCAGCUGAAUUUCUGCUACAGAUCUAAUUUAAAUGUCAUUUUAUUUGUAUAUAGUAGCCUAAAUGGAAACAUAACUACUUUCUUUUACUUUGAAAAUUGUGAGAAGGCACUUGGCACUAUAAAAGCAGUUAGUACAAAAAAUAUUGUGUGUGGUGACUAUAACAUAGAUUUCAAUGAGGACUAAAAGGACUGAUUUAACCGUGAGGAUUUAUUAAAAACUUAUAACAUACACACAGCCAUUAAAUCCCCUGCCAGAGUCACCAAUCACCCAGUGGUACUAUAGAUCAGGUUCUAAUAAAACAGAUAAAUAUUUAUUCAAAGCUGGAAAUAUGAAUACAGGUUUCUGUGAUCAUUAUGCAACAUUUAUUUAAUUCCCAAUAGAAACCAUAGGUAACAAUCAACCACAAAUAAUGAGGAAAGGUUGAAAUUGUAGCAACAAAAACUUAAGACAUCUUGGGCAUUUGCUGAAAACAGGAACGUGGAAUGACAUGUACACUGCGAGGGCACAUGUAAAGUUUUGACAUGUUCAUGGUGAUAUUCUCACAUUAUUUCAGUAUUUUUUUUCCAGUUAAAAACUAAAAAUUCAAAAUUAGUAAAAGAAAUAGUUUUUGGCCGACAACUAAAAUAUUUGUUGAAAACAGAAGAUUUGAAUAAAUUUCAAAAGCACAAAUUUUAUUGAAGAAUUUUUAUGUGUUUCAAGAAUUAUAAGAGAGUGCUUCACGAGGUCAAAAAAAAGGUAAGAAAAUGGAAAAUGAUCACUACAUAAUAACACCCAAAAAAGCCACUAUUAAAAAAGGGCAAGAAAGAAGAAAUUGCCAAUUAUAGACCUCUUGCUUUGCUAUCAGUAUUUACAAAACUACUAGAAAAAAAAUCAUAAGAGAUUGCUAGAUUUUCUAGAAUAGUGCAACAUACUACCCACCGCCCACCAUGGCUUCCAGAAAGGCCAAUCAACAGAAAUCACAAUAUUUGAAUUUCUAAGUGAAGUGCGCCAAAAACUUGAUAGUGGGGGAAAAAGUAACUGGCAUAUACCUUGAUCUGUCCAAGUGUCAUACCACUAUCCAGUUUGCAGAUGACAAAUAUUUUAGUCAGUAAGAAGACAGCAGAAAUGUUGCAGACAACACUAUCUGAGACAUUAACCGGUUUUGUAAGCUCAUUCAGCCAAAACAAACCGAUAACAAAUAAAGUAAAACAGAAGUGUUAAAUUUUUAUAAUGUCUAGAGAAACAGUGAAGAGUGUAUAAAAAUUCAGAUAUCAGACAGAGAUAUUUCAGGUGUGGCUAAUGCAGAAUUUCUGGGGAUCUGGUGCAAAAUUAACCUUAGAUUGGAUACUCACAUUGAUAGCAUGUUACCAUGUGUUGUUUGAAGAGUGCUUGAAAACAGUUGCCAUAAGGACUGUCUAAUGACUGUUUAUUAUGCUACGUUCUGUUCUGAAGUAUGGGAUCACUUUCUGGGGUAAAUCACCAUCCUGCCAAAAAUUCUUCAGGUUGCAAAGAAGAAAAGUGAGAAUCAUGGCUGGAAUAAAAAUGAAUAAACCUUGCAGACCACUAUUUAAAAGCUUGGGGAGUCUUCCUCUUCCAUGUAUUUACAUUUCUGAAAGUACAGUGUUUAUUAAGAAAUAUGCAAUAACAAAUCCUAGUGUCCUCUUCAAAAAUGAAAAUCUGCAUCACCAUGACACAAGACAGAAAACUGACUUUCACAUGCUCCAAAUAGAAAGUAGUUGUGCCAAAAAGGAACAUUACACCAUGGUAAAAUUAUUUACGACAAGUUUCCAAAUUAAAUUAAAGUACUAAAUGAUCUACAAAAAUUAAAGCAGUGUUAAAAGAAUAUUAAUUAAUGCAUUGCUUCCAUAGUCUGGAAGAGUUCCUCCAAAAUCUUUGAGAAGUUAAUGUCAAGUGUAUAAGCCACAUUCUUUAUCACAUAACAAAAAUAUUGUGUAAAUGUGGCUAUGUACUUGUAGUCUGUAACCAUUAAUAUUAGUUUAGUCAUAUUUCCAGUUGUAAUUUUCUAGCUAUAAUAGUUUAAUUAUAAGUCAGAGCUUAAAAAAAUGUAUUCAGUAAUGCACACAAACAUCAUCUAAUAAUGAAGACAUAUAUGCACUGAUCUAUCCAUUAUCUGAUGUGUUGUACUGUACAUGUAAUAUAAACUGGACCAAAUAAAAUACAAAUACAAAUCA